rnacentral:rRNA from 1 species
CCUACGGGAGGCAGCAGUGAGGAAUAUUGGACAAUGGGCGCAAGCCUGAUCCAGCCAUGCCGCGUGCAGGAUGACGGUCCUAUGGAUUGUAAACUGCUUUUAUACGGGAAGAAACCCUGGCUCGUGAGCCAGAUUGACGGUACCGUAAGAAUAAGGAUCGGCUAACUCCGUGCCAGCAGCCGCGGUAAUACGGAGGAUCCAAGCGUUAUCCGGAAUCAUUGGGUUUAAAGGGUCCGUAGGCGGUUUAAUAAGUCAGUGGUGAAAGCCCAUCGCUCAACGGUGGAACGGCCAUUGAUACUGUUAGACUUGAAUUAUUAGGAAGUAACUAGAAUAUGUAGUGUAGCGGUGAAAUGCUUAGAGAUUACAUGGAAUACCAAUUGCGAAGGCAGGUUACUACUAAUUGAUUGACGCUGAUGGACGAAAGCGUGGGUAGCGAACAGGAUUAGAUACCCUGGUAGUCCACGCCGUAAACGAUGGAUACUAGCUGUUGGGAGUAAUCUCAGUGGCUAAGCGAAAGUGAUAAGUAUCCACCUGGGGAGUACGUUCGCAAGAAUGAAACUCAAAUGAGUAGAGNGNGAGAGNGACGACGACGACGACGAGGAGGAGG